rnacentral:rRNA from 1 species
UACGUAGGGUGCGAGCGUUAAUCGGAAUUACUGGGCGUAAAGCGUGCGCAGGCGGUUUUGUAAGCCCGAUGUGAAAUCCCCGGGCUCAACCUGGGAAUGGCAUUUGGGACUGCAAGGCUGGAGUACGGCAGAGGAGACUGGAAUUCCUGGUGUAGCAGUGAAAUGCGUAGAUAUCAGGAGGAAUACCGAUGGCGAAGGCAGGUCUCUGGGCUGAUACUGACGCUCAUGCACGAAAGCGUGGGGAGCAAACAGG